AUGUGCUGCUCGCCUGGUGUCCAGUUGGCAUUUGGUGGGAUAGCAGUCACAGCCAUGACAGCAGUCCUGACUAUUCCUGCCAAGAAAUCAAAGCUGAAGAAUGUGGAGGUGCAGGGUGAGAUCAUUCAUUGGAUUCCCACCAAAAAAUCAGCACUCCCUCCCUCAAACAGUUCAAGCCUGCUGAGGGCAUCUGUGCUGGUUAUUGCUGUGGAUGAGGCUCCAGGAACGCCGAGGGCUGAUCCUUCAGGGAAUCGAAGCCUGGCCACGUGUGGGUGGAUGGGGAAGGGAAUAAAAGGAUGAAGAACUUGGUCAAUCAAUGCCUCCCAGUGCUGGAAUCCUGCUUGGCAUCAUCACAGUCAGGUGAAAUGGGAGGCACUGGCAAUGAGGAAAACUGGAAAUGGAGAGAAGUCAGUGGAGGUUUUGGGUGGUUUUUUUUCAGUGAUUACCUGUAUGAUCAUUGUUUCAAAGCAGCACAUGACUUAAUUCUGGGUUCUGCAAGGAAGAAAAUGUUGUUGCCAAGCCACUUCUGAUACCCUGAAUAAUCUGCAAGAAAUCCAACCAUCUCUUCUUUAGCAAGGCAGGCUCAAACUCAAAGUACUCAGAUAAGAGCUGGGCCCCACAGCUAAUUCUGUUCCUGGGGUGCCUGCAGAUGAACAGACUCAGCUGCAAAGCUGAGACCCGUCAGUUUGUGCUCAUAUUUUACAACUUUGCUCCUCUGCAGGUCUCUAGGCAAAGGUCACAGGCAGGGUCCUGCCAGGAAAACGUACUGAGGGAUCAGUGCCUGCUCAACCCCUGAGGCUGAGGGGGGAAGGAGAGACUGAUGGGGCCAGGAAAUGAAGGCUGAUAUUCUCCUGUGGGUGAGCCAUGGACUUGCCAAGAGGGUGCGGAGCAGAGCCUCCUGUUUAGCUCUGAGGGAAGGUUGACUUCACUGCAGAGGGAUGGGAGCAGUGCUGGGGUGGCUGCUGGCUGUGGCACGUCCCUGGUGAUUUAGAUCUGGAGAUAUGGAGGAGGAAACCCCAGCACAGAGAGGCAGAAAAUCCCUUCCAGCAUUUCCUGGGAAGUCUGCUGGGUUCUGGAGAAGGCAGGAUGGAAAGUGGGCAGGACAAAGGGGUCCUGAGGUGAUCAGAGGAGCUCAGAGAAGCUCUCCAGCCCUGUGUGGAGACAAGUUUGGGGACAGCUGUGGCUCUGAGGAGCUGGCUUGGCAGGAUGGGAUGGAGACAGGGAAUGCAGAGAUGGAGGGUUUGAAUGGAUAGAUGAAUGGAUGCUCCCAUCCAGAGGCACCCACCCACCAAGAGUUGUC
rnacentral:lncRNA from 1 species